GCCCGUCUUCAAAAUGCCCGCCUCCCGACGAAGACGCAAAGAAGCGGUCGAAGGUCCCGUCCGACGGAAUGUUAGAGUGGCUGGCACCAGGGCUGUUCUCAGAAGCGUCCAAGUCCUCAAUUUGGACCGAGUCCUUCACCAAGGAGGCGGCGACCGACUUUCGUUUCUCAGCACGAGUUUUCUUCUUUUGCCGUCGGUCGGACCGGCUGUCUCGAAGGGG
rnacentral:lncRNA from 1 species